rnacentral:rRNA from 1 species
UAAGCAUAACUUCUGCGAAGCAUCUGCCAAGGAUGUCCUCAUUAAUCAAGAACGAAAGUUAGGGGAUCGAAGACGAUCAGAUACCGUCGUAGUCUUAACCAUAAGAAUGCCGACCAGCGAUUAGGAGACGUUGAAUACAGAACACCACCAUCAGGCAGUGGGAUCGUGCUUCAUUUUCCGGCAACGGGAAGUGGAGGCGGUCUCAUUCCCUGAUGCGCGGGUGAAUGACCCCUAGCAGCUUA